GGUUGAGGCAUGUCCUGAUACAUCGUGGUACCGUGCGGAGGGGUAAAUGUGAUGGGAAAGUAUCUGGCAGGGUACGCACCUAGUAGGUGUUAGUGAUAUAGAUGUCCCAAACUCAAAUCAUGAUGGUUCGAUUGACUAUAUUUCAACUUUAUGAUGAAUGCAGAAACUGAGCCCAGGGAACUUAAGCUCCUCACUUAAGAUCAUGCUAUGGAUUGAAAUGUGUCCUUCCAAAAUUCGUGUUGGAUUCGUGUUGAAGCCCUAACAUGCAACAUGACUGCAUUUGGAAAUACGGCCUCUAAGGAAUCAAGGCUAAAUGAAAUCAGAAGGGUGGAACUUGAUCUGAUGGAAUUAGUGUCAUUAUAAAAAGAGACACCAAAGAGCUCUCUCUCUCUGUCUCAACUGUGUGAGGACACAGCAAGAAGGCAGCUGUUGGCUAGCCAGGAAGAGUGGUCUCACCAGAAAUGCACCAGCCAGAACCUUGGACUUCCAGCCUCUAGAACUAUGAGAAAACAAAUGACUGUUAUUUAAGCCACCUAGUCUAUGGUAUUUUGGUUACCGCAGCCCAAGCUGACUAAUAAAGAUCAUCUUCUGCCUAUGCAAUGUGAAGAUGACAAAGAAGAAGACCUUUACAAUGAUCCACGUCUACUUAAUGAAUAACUUAGGUAUUCAUCUCAUCAAAGCAAGAAGACCACCUCAGCUCUAGACACCACAGUCUCCCCCUAACUUCAGCUGCACGGAGCAGGGAUAGACAUAAAAGACCUUUCCUUCCCAGAUGUUGUUGAAAAAAAAAAAAAGAAAGAAAGAAAGAAAAGAAAAAAUAGAAACUUUUUUUUUUCCUUCUGGGAGAAAAAGCUUUUGAGAAGGCCUCAGACAGAGUAAUCGACUUCUCUUCAUGCCUCACUUGUCAGAACCGGAUCUCACCACUCCCAUUCGCAAACCAGUCCCUGCAAAAGGUAGUAGGAUUGCUGUAAUUGGCUUAGGUCAGGAGUCAACAAACUUUUUCUGGAAAGAUCCUGAUAGCAAAUAUUUUAGGCUUUGUGGGCCACAUGGUCUCUGUUUCACACUACAAUUCUGCCAUUGUAGUGUGAAAGCAGUCAAAGGCAAAGUUUAAAUGGAUGUGGCUGUGAUUCAAUAAAACUUUAUUUGAAAAAAUACAGGUAGUGACAUAACAAUUAAACUCUAAGAGUCUGGAUAGAAGCCAGGCAAAGAAAGCUGUGGAAAGAACAUUGAACUUGGAGUCAGCCCCACUCACCUGGUCUGAACUCUUGGCUUUGCCUUGUGUCCUUAAGUAACCUACUUCUCUCUGAGCCUCAGAUUCUUCAGCUGCAAAAUGGGGAUAAUAAUAUUUACCUACUAAGGUUCUUGUGGGGGAAGUAGGCAAUGGAAGUGAGUGUAAGGAGGGAAGAGUAGAAGGAGUCCAACAAUAAUCUGAGUUUUCUGAGCUCAAGAAUGUCAGUACAGGCAGGGCACGGUGGCUCACGCCUGUAAUCCCAACCAAGGCGGGCAGAUCACCUGAGGUCAAGAGUUCGAGACCAGCCUGGCCAACAUGGUGAAACUCUGUCUCUACUAAAAAUACAAAAAUCAGCCAGGCGUGGUGGCACACGCCUGUAAUCCCAGCUAUUCAGGAGGCUGAGGUAGGAGAAUUGCUUGAGCCCGGGAGGCGGAGGUUGCAGUGAGCCGAGAUCGUGCCACUGCACUCCAGCCUGGCUGACAGAGUGAGAGUCUGUCUCAAAAAAAAAAAAAAA